rnacentral:rRNA from 1 species
UACGGAGGGGGCUAGCGUUGUUCGGAAUUACUGGGCGUAAAGCGCUUGUAGGCGGUCCACCAAGUUUGGGGUGACAGUUGCCGACUUAAUCGGCAAAGUGCCUCAAAGACUGGCGGACUUGAGGGCCACAGAGGGACAUGGAACUCCAGGUGUAGUGGUGAAAUGCGUAGAUAUCUGGAAGAACACCAAAGGCGAAGGCAGUGUCCUGGGUGGUCGCUGACGCUGAGAGGCGAAAGCCAGGGGAGCGAACGGG